CUGGAAUACAUGCACCGUGUGGGGUCUUGAGGACCGAGUUUGAGAACCUGUGGUCUAGUCCAUGAGAGCCUUGUUAUUUAUCAAAACUCUAUCUUUCUUGAAUUGUGACACGGUGGACCAGAAACCGGAAGCGUUGCAGAGUCCCGGGGUGGUCGUUAGCGGUGAGCGGGAAAGGAGAUGUUUUAGUCGUGAUGUCAGCUGUCAGCCCAAGAAAUGAUCUUUUAGUUGAGGGUCGGUAAAAAAGAACAAGACAAAGGAUUAUAUUCUGGGGUCAGGAAAUUCUCCUGAGAAAUGAAGAGACAAUCUUUCAGAAACUUUCGAUAUUGAGAAACUUGUUAUGAGAGGUUUAUAUCCCUUCUGAGGUUUUUCAGCUCGACGACUAGAAAGAAAGAAAAUGUUCCAUACGUCUUUUGGUCUUCUUUCACCAAGCAGGAAAACAUAGAGCUGAAACGUAGAACAAUUUUUUUAAUAAAGAAAAUCUAAGCCACCGUAGCCCACCUCUGUUAUGGUGGAGAUAAAAACCAGAAUUUUUGGAAUGUUCAGCUAUUCGGAAUGCAACUCAAGAAUAGAGAUGUAGCUUUUCUUUUAUUGUAUACCUAUGUGGUGUGGAAAUCUGUGAAGUUCCCACUGGAAUGUUUUUUUUUUUUUAAACCUUUAAUAACUUUGAAGUUGUUUUUUAUAUUACGGUUCCGAGUUUCAUUUCAAACUUUCUGUGUGA